AAAUAUAUGCAUGUUGAACAUAGAUCGAGUGGCAUUCGAAAUGAUAAAGUGGACACUAGAGUUAGUGUGGGACAACAAAGAAUAAAUGUGAUGUAAAGAAUAAUGAUAAUGGCUAAAGACAAUGUAAAACAAUGUGAUGAUAAUAAUGUAAUGUUGCAUGAUGUGAGUACACAUGCUUAUUAGAAUGAUUAAGAAUCUAAAUAAUCUAUGUGUAUGCAUGAGAUGUAAUGUGAGAACCUAAUGAUAAUGGUUAGAGACAAUGCAAAGUAAAAGAAAUGUAAAGAACAAUGAUUGCUAGAGUGACAAUAUAAAGUGAUGUAAAGAAUAAUGAUAAUGGUUAGAGACAAUGCAAAGUAAAAGAAAUGUAAAGAACAAUGAUUGCUAGAGUGGCAACAUAAAGUGAUGUAAAGAAUAAUGAUAAUGGCUAGAGGCAAUGUAAAGUAAUGUGGCAUAAAGAACGUGUAAAGUUAAAGAAUGUGAAAGCUAAAGAUAGCUUAAAGUAAAGGAAUGUAAAGAACGUGAUUGCUAGAGUUAGCAAAAGUAAAAGAAAUGUAAAGAACAAUGAUUGCUAGAGUGGCAACAUAAAGUGAUGUAAAGAACACUAGAGUUAGUGUGAAACCAUGAUCCAACUACAUAUCCUUAGAGUUAAUGAUUGAUCAUACUUGCUAUGAGUUCCGUGCUCGAGGGCGGUCGCUCCCCCUCGGGCGAUGCGCUCCGGAGUUUGGCAUCCGGGUUGGAGUAGACCCGUAAGGACGGUCCUAGCGGGUGAGUUCCUGCGAUAAUGGACUUAAUGUGAAGCAAGUUAAUGUGGCGAAACCUACGGGUUAGCCAAAAAGAAUCAUGAAUUGGAAAGUGGAUCUUGUAUACAUUAUAAAUUGACUCAAGACUGAGUCGAGUGGCAUAGUUGGCUAAGGUAAAUGUAACCUUAAGAAAGAGUGAUAAUUGAGAAAGCCUUGUUAAUGUUAUAAAGAAUGGCAAAUGUGUAUGAUGAGCCUAAGGUGCGAGUGCCCUUAGUAAAGGAUAAAGAACAAAGAAUAAUGCAUAAAGAAUAAAGCAUAAAGAAUAAAGAAUAAAGAAUAAAGAUUAAAGAAUAAAGAAUGGCUAAUGAUAAAGAAUUUCAUAUUCUAAAGAAAGGCUAAUGGUGAAGAAUGACUAAGAGUUGCAUAAUUUGCAUAUUUGUAAGGCAUGAACAUGUAUUGCAUGAUGUUAUAUGUAUAUAUAUCUGUUGGACUAACAUGUUACAGUGCCUCCUUUGGACCUGGUGGGUUGAGCUCUUCCCUUGGGUGGCUGUACCCACUGAGGACUAUGGACAAUAGUCUCACCCCCGUGUUGUUGUUUUUGGGGGUACAGGUUCACACGCGAGCGGCGCGGCGGCGCGAGGAAAGGGCGUAGCUCCGUAGUUAGCGCCCUACCACAAAGACCAGAUAGCAGCACCCUGAGUCGGCUUCUUAGGGGUAUAAGAAAAGAAAAGAAAAGAAUCGAUGUUGUAAUAUUAUGUUUAGAAAUCGAUUGUAUAUUUGGAAGUUGAGGAUCAAUGUAAUGAAAAAUGCGAUGUAAAAUGAUGAGAUAAAUGAUUGUAAUAAUAUAGGAUGUGUUAUGUUGUUUGAUACCUUCCUUAUGCAAUCGUUGUUGAAAAUUGUUCCUGUUUUGAACCUCUUGUACUUGUAUUGAUUGCGACGCCUUGAACGUACAGGGGAGACUCUGUCCGCGUGCAGGGGAAACCCUGUCCGUUUGGCGGUCUGUUGGCGUGCCCGAAUCCGACCAAAGAGGCGGGCUCGGGGCGUGACAUUAGUGAAAUGCGCCACAAGGUCCAAAACUGAACAAAAGAGAGUAAGUACGAGUAUAAUCAAGAGGAAUAACAACAACUAAACAUAAGUGCUUACUAAACCAUGAUGUCUCAACUCAGCAUGAAUUUGCAUAAUUAAUAGAGCUACUAUAACAUGAAUGUACAUGAAUGUGACUAGCAUGUAUAAGCAUGAAUAUGCAACCAACAGAAUGUCCACAAUGUAGAUAGUAAAAUGUCAUUGUUUACUAUUCUAGUCAAAGUCCAAAUGGCAUGUUCUGUCACUAAGUUCCAAUCAUGUAAGACCCACCCGUAGGCUGUCUGGCCUGCGCCGUGCCUAAUGGCUCCGUAGUAGUCAACAUCCCCACUCUAGGAAUGAGCCUCCCCCACGGCAUCCUAUUUCGGCGCCCAAUCCCGCACGAGCGAGUAUAUUUCGCGAUGGCUAUCUCCGGAGUGCCGGCUUGUAGGGAGCGGCCCUCACAAGCAUGUGCGAAUGAGCACAAUGGCAAGCAAGCGAAAGAUCUAUCUCAAGUACUAAGUCCUCAUGUCUAGAAAUAUGGAAUAUAUGUCACAUAUCCCAAUAGCCUAUCUCUAUGUCAUCAUGUCUAAAACAUGGAAUAUCACUUAUGUCUCAAUGGCCUAUCACUAUGUCAUCGUGUCUAAAACACGGAAUAUAGUCGAUGUCACAAUGGCCUAUUUCUAUGUCUCUAUGUUGCAGUUUCACAGUUUACUAA
rnacentral:lncRNA from 1 species